GAUGAACGCUGGCGGCGUGCUUAACACAUGCAAGUCGAACGAAGCACUUUUGAUUGAUUUCCUCGGAAAGAUUUCACUUGUGACUGAGUGGCGGACGGGUGAGUAACGCGUGGGUAACCUGCCUCAUACAGGGGGAUAACAGUUAGAAAUGACUGCUAAUACCGCAUAAGCGCACGGUAUCGCAUGAUACAGUGUGAAAAACUCCGGUGGUAUGAGAUGGACCCGCGUCUGAUUAGUUAGUUGGUGAGGUAACGGCCCACCAAGGCGACGAUCAGUAGCCGUCCUGAGAGGGUGACCGGCCACGUUGGGACUGAGACACGGCCCAAAAUCCUACGGGAGGCAGCAGUGGGGAAUAUUGCACAAUGGGCGAAAGCCUGAUGCAGCGACGCCGCGUGAACGAAGAAGUAUUUCGGUAUGUAAAGUUCUAUCAGCAGGGAAGAUAAUGACGGUACCUGACUAAGAAGCACCGGCUAAAUACGUGCCAGCCGCCGCCGUAACAC
rnacentral:rRNA from 1 species